GUGAGGCUUGGUAGAACAUUUCUCUUCCUUCUGUAUUUGAUAAGUAAGACUAAUGAAUAGAUCUGCCACCUCACUAACUGUAUAAGGAUAAAUAAGGUGGCAGAUUUUAAUAAAAUGAAGCCCUGGCAAAAGCUGGAGUUGCUUGCUGCUGGGAACCCUGAUUCAUCCAGGCCCUCACUGGACACACAGCUCCAGCAGGGAUCCCUCCAGAGCACAGAGAACCAUCCCAGCCAUCCUGCUUCUACUGACGAAGCCUGGACCCAGAUUAACUCUCCUGAGUGACCAUGCCACACACCUGACUCACAUUAAAUUUAACGGUCAACUGAAACCCUCACACUUCUGGGGCAGGGACUCACUCCCUGGUCCAGGGAAUUUCUAGGAAAACAGACUUUAUGUAGUUCCUUAUUACUUGUUCAAUGGAAAAUGGUGUCUGAGCUUCCCCCCACCCCCAACCACGAUAUUUAAUGUAUGAGAGUGAUGCCUUUGAAGUGCUGAAAAAGUGCAGUCAUUCCCUUGACAAGGAAAGGGAGGAAUUA
ensembl:lncRNA